UGCGUCCAAAGUUAAAACUGCCGUUUUUGUUUUGAGUUUAUAGAUCGACGAAUCCAGCAACAUAAAAACUAUUUUGAUGUAUUCAAAAGGUACUUAAAUACAAAAUACAGUACGUAGCGGCCCCCUUUUUUAAAUAUCUAUCGUUAAAUUUAAAUAAUCAC